UGAUUAAUUUAUCGAUUUGUGUCACUUUUUAGACUGGUACCAACUCGCGACCGAAAGAAUUUAUUAAUUUAUAGAGGUUAUUAAUUUAUCGAGUAAUAAUUUAUAGAGGUUUUACUGUAUAUAUAUUAUGUU
rnacentral:sRNA from 1 species